rnacentral:rRNA from 1 species
GAUGAACGCUGGCGGCGUGCCUAAUACAUGCAAGUCGAGCGAACAGACGAGGAGCUUGCUCCUCUGACGUUAGCGGCGGACGGGUGAGUAACACGUGGAUAACCUACCUAUAAGACUGGGAUAACUUCGGGAAACCGGAGCUAAUACCGGAUAAUAUAUUGAACCGCAUGGUUCAAUAGUGAAAGACGGUUUUGCUGUCACUUAUAGAUGGAUCCGCGCCGCAUUAGCUAGUUGGUAAGGUAACGGCUUACCAAGGCAACGAUGCGUAGCCGACCUGAGAGGGUGAUCGGCCACACUGGAAGUGAGACACGGUCCAGACUCCUACGGGAGGCAGCAGUAGGGAAUCUUCCGCAAUGGGCGAAAGCCUGACGGAGCAACGCCGCGUGAGUGAUGAAGGUCUUGGGAUCGUAAAACUCUGUUAUUAGGGAAGAACAAAUGUGUAAGUAACUAUGCACGUCUUGACGGUACCUAAUCAGAAAGCCACGGCUAACUACGUG